rnacentral:rRNA from 1 species
GCAGUAGCCGCGGGAAUACGGAGGGUGCAAGCGUUACUCGGAAUCACUGGGCGUAAAGGACGCGUAGGCGGAUUAUCAAGUCUCUUGUGAAAUCUAACGGCUUAACCGUUAAACUGCUUGGGAAACUGAUAAUCUAGAGUAAGGGAGAGGCAGAUGGAAUUCUUGGUGUAGGGGUAAAAUCCGUAGAGAUCAAGAAGAAUACCCAUUGCGAAAGCGAUCUGCUGGAACUUAACUGACGCUAAUGCGUGAAAGCGUGGGGAGCAAACAGGAUUAGAUACCCCCGUAGUCCCUGUCUCUUAUAC